CAGACAUUCCUCUGAACACUAAGGUAACCCCUUAUGCUGGGGAAAUUCCACAGUGACAGAAACUGAUACUAUCCCCUACAAAUAUGGAAGCACGUGAGACUAUUUCACAAGAACCAGUUCAGCGGUCAGCCAAGCAGAACUCUGGAGCUACCAGGAAGAAUCAAGAAGGAGAAAAUGACCAUAAUUGAUGAUAUUCUGCCACAAGAUACUUAUCUCCUUCCUCUUCCACCUGAGGCACAGCCAUCAGCAGUGACUUGGCCCCAAAAAGCUCCAUCACCUUCCUGUGACCAGGAGGCCUGCCUGCCCCAAGGAAAAUCCCCAGUCCACCUGAAGCACAGACAGCAAAUGUAAGCUGACCUCUGUCUCCGAAGCUCCACCAACAGGCCUAGAACUCUACCUCUCUUCCCCAGGAGGUCUGCAGGACCACCCAGGGAACAGCUAACUGAGGGAGGAUGUCAUCGCUGGAUUCGGAGGCUAACUGUAAACCGAUUCUGAUGCUAACAGAUGGGAACAAAUUUACAGACUCACUGCCAUGUAUUAUACAGAGAGAGAGAGAGAGUGAAACUUUGGAACAAAAAGCUCCAAAUGGGAUGUUUCCAUUACAUUCCAUCCAACAUAGCUCAGGAAAUGCCUUGGAAGGAGAGGUAGAAAAAGUUUAAGAGAGGAGAUGGAGGCUCUCUAGAUCAACUGAACAAAGCUUGUAUGAAUUUACAGAGACUGAAGCAUCAAGCACAGGGUUGCCACAGGUCCUCACAAGUUCCUCUGCAUAUUACAGCUUUCAGUUUGGAGUUUUCUGGGACUCGAGAGUUGGUGAACAAACAGAAAUGCUCCUGAGAACUUCCUGUGGUAUCCUGGCUGUUUUGCGCCACUUCUGCAGACACAUGCCUAUUGAGUGGAGCCCAUCAGUUUCUUCUGGACCAACCUGCUGCUACUGACACAGUUUUCAUGUUUACACAUUGGACUGGACCUCUGCUGACUUGUAUUUGAUGUUUUGGAGCAGACUGCUAACAUCCUGACAACAAAGAUUGGAAUUGCCCCAAAGAACUGCAUACAAACAUGUUCCCAUCCCAUUUCCUUUCUUUUUCUCUGUCUCUCAUAGGUGAGCUAGAAGAGAGGUUGAAGCACUUUAGAACCCUUGAUAAAGUAGGUUUUGAGAAACCUAAGCCUACACUGUCAUAAACAAAAUAACAAAAGACCCCUCAGUUUUCACGUUCUACUACAGUCCCUUUUGCAAAUCAUAUCAAACCAUUACCAUUAAAUAUAGUUGUAUGUUUAUUAAAAGUAGUCUUU